AUUGAACGCUGGCGGCAGGCCUAACACAUGCAAGUCGAACGAGUGGCGGACGGGUGAGUAAUGUAUGGGCAACUGCCUGAUGGAGGGGGAUAACUACUGGAAAAGGUAGCUAAUACCGCAUAACAUCAGAUGUGCCCAGAUGGGAUUAGCUAGUUGGUGGGGUAACGGCUCACCAAGGCGACGCUCCCUAGCUGGGCUGAGAGGAUGACCAGCCACCCUGGAACUGAGACACGGUCCAGUCUCCUACGGGAGGCAGCAGUGGGGAAGAGUGCACAAUGGGCGCAAGCCUGAUGCAGCCAUGCCGCGUGUAUGAAGAAGGCCUUCGGGUUGUAAAGUACUGUCAGCGGGGAGGCGUUACCCGCAGAAGAAGCACCGGCUAACUCCGUGCCAGCAGCCGCGGUAAUUC
rnacentral:rRNA from 1 species